GGCUAGCGCCAAUGACUUGCUUGUGUAGUGGUAUGCUCGGUUUUACAUACUAGAGAUGUUGGGUGGUAUGCUGUUUAUGGACAAGUCUAGCGAAUGGUUCUCAGUCAUGUAUCUACAGUUUUUCAAUCCAAUCAGCAAUGGAAAGAAUUAUAGCUGGGGUAGAGCAGCACUAAGUUGGCUAUAUAGACACCUCUGUAAGGCAUCAGAGAAGACAACCAAGUAGAUUGGCGGUGCAUUGCUAUUGGUGUAGUUGUGGGCGUGGGCCAGGUUUCCACACAUAUGUCCUGUGAUGUGGCAUCCACACCAGGCACUACAUCAAGUCCACUUGCUGUUAGAUUGAAAGGGGCUAAGUGCACAACUAAACAUGCAACGCUCAUCCUACACGCCUAUCGUAUGUCGCUUGCUUCGCUACGGCCAAAUCAAGUAUCGUGCCUUUGAUUGUCUAGGAGCCAUACAAGUCUGUGUUAGGUUCCCUGCCCGCAUAUUGAACGACAAGCCAACAUAUAUGGAGGUCUAUCGUGCCAUUCAUACAUUUUUAGGUGGUUGAAGGCCAUCACCCAAAACGUGUUCUUUGACAGUUUGGGAUGAAGCUAGACAUACCAGUCGAUGUCAAUACUUUACCUGAACUACACAAAAUAACACUCCAGGGCAAGCAAGACAAAAACUGAGUUGUAGAACAUGCCACGCAUAUUGCUAAAUGGGCUACGCACGCCACAAUUGCCGAUGCACUACUCUUUCAUUGGGAGAUGAGCUACAAUGACAAGUAUAUGGUGUGGUUUCUUCCCCGCACUCGACACCAUAUUACAAAAAAGACCUUGUACUGGGACACUUUGGUAAGUUCACAAAGGCUUUUCUGUUACAGAUGUA